GACGAACGCUGGCGGCGUGCUUAACACAUGCAAGUCGAACGGAAAGGCCCUGCUUUUGUGGGGUGCUCGAGUGGCGAACGGGUGAGUAACACGUGAGUAACCUGCCCUUGACUUUGGGAUAACUUCAGGAAACUGGGGCUAAUACCGGAUAGGAGCUCCUGCUGCAUGGUGGGGGUUGGAAAGUUUCGGCGGUUGGGGAUGGACUCGCGGCUUAUCAGCUUGUUGGUGGGUAGUGGCUUACCAAGGCUUUGAAGGGUAGCCGGCCUGGGAGGGUGACCGGCCACAUUGGGACUGAGAUACGGCCCAGACUCCUACGGGAGGCAGCAGUGGGGAAUAUUGCACAAUGGGCGGAAGCCUGAUGCAGCAACGCCGCGUGCGGGAUGACGGCCUUCGGGUUGUAAACCGCUUUCGCCUGUGACGAAGCGUGAGUGACGGUAAUGGGUAAAGAAGCACCGGCUAACUACGUG
rnacentral:rRNA from 1 species